rnacentral:SRP_RNA from 1 species
GCUGGGUGUGGCGGCAUGUGCCUGUGGUCCCAGCUACUUGGGAGGCUGAGGCAGGAGGAUCACUUGAGCCCAGGAGUUCAAGGCUGCAGUGAGCUAAGAUCAUACCACUGCACUCCAGCCUGGGUAACAGAGUGAGAUCCUGUCUCAA